UAAAGAAAAGUAACGGUGUCGAU
rnacentral:piRNA from 1 species